AGGACGAACGCUGGCGGCGUGCUUAACACAUGCAAGUCGAGCGGAAAGGCCCUUCGGGGUACUCGAGCGGCGAACGGGUGAGUAACACGUGAGGAACCUGCCCCGGACUUUGGGAUAACCCUCGGAAACGGGGGCUAAUACCGAAUAUUACUGCUGGCCGCAUGGUUGGUGGUGGAAAGUUUUUCGGUCUGGGAUGGUCUCGCGGCCUAUCAGCUUGUUGGUGGGGUAAUGGCCUACCAAGGCGACGACGGGUAGCC
rnacentral:rRNA from 1 species